GGCUCAAUGGUCUAGUGGUAUGAUUCCUGCUUUGGGUCCGCGAGGAUUUGCAGGAGGCCCCGGGUUCAAAUCCCGGUUGAGCCC